CACGUAGGGUGCGAGCGUUGUCCGGAAUUAUUGGGCGUAAAGAGCUCGUAGGCGGUGUGUCGCGUCGGCCGUGAAAACCUGCAGCUUAACUGUGGGCUUGCGGUCGAUACGGGCAUCACUGGAGUUCGGCAGGGGAGACUGGAAUUCCUGGUGUAGCGGUGAGAUGCGCAGAUAUCAGGAGGAACACCGGUGGCGAAGGCGGGUCUCUGGGCCGAAACUGACGCUGAGGAGCGAAAGCGUGGGGAGCAAACAGG
rnacentral:rRNA from 1 species